rnacentral:rRNA from 1 species
CCUACGGGGUGCAGCAGUGAGGAAUAUUGGUCAAUGGGCGUAAGCCUGAACCAGCCAAGUCGCGUGAGGGAUGAAGGUUCUAUGGAUCGUAAACCUCUUUUAUAAGGGAAUAAAGUGUGGGACGUGUCCUGUUUUGUAUGUACCUUAUGAAUAAGGAUCGGCUAACUCCGUGCCAGCAGCAGCGGUAAUACGGAGGAUCCGAGCGUUAUCCGGAUUUAUUGGGUUUAAAGGGUGCGUAGGCGGCCCUUUAAGUCAGCGGUGAAAGUCUGUGGCUCAACCAUAGAAUUGCCGUUGAAACUGGGAGGCUUGAGUAUGUUUGAGGCAGGCGGAAUGCGUGGUGUAGCGGUGAAAUGCUUAGGUAUCACGCAGAACCCCGAUUGCGAAGGCAGCCUGCCAAGCCAUGACUGACGCUGAUGCACGAAAGCGUGGGGAUCAAACAGGAUUAGAUACCCGAGUAGUC